AUGCCUUAAACUUCUGAGUCAGGAAAAUAACAAUUCGGGCUUACGCCCAAAUCCUCACUGCUAAUAUCAGACGAAUUUUUGAGCGGGUAAAGUUUGACUCUACGGUGACCCGACUACUUUGCGGGAUGCCUGGGAGUUGCGAUCUGCCCG